rnacentral:rRNA from 1 species
CCUACGGGUGGCAGCAGUAGGGAAUAUUGCUCAAUGGGGGAAACCCUGAAGCAGCAACGCCGCGUGAAGGAUGAAGGUUUUCGGAUUGUAAACUCCUUUUUUUAGAGAAGAUAAUGACGGUAUCUAACGAAUAAGCUCCGGCUAACUCCGUGCCAGCAGCCGCGGUAAUACGGAGGGUGCCAGCGUUACUCGGAAUCACUGGGCGUAAAGCGCGCGUAGGCGGGAUAGCAAGUCAGAUGUGAAAUUCUACGGCUUAACCAUAGAACUGCAUUUGAAACUGUUAUUCUAGAGUAUGGGAGAGGUAGGUGGAAUGCGUGGUGUAGGGGUAAAAUACGUAGAGAUCAAGAGGAAUACUCAUUGCGAAGGCGACCUGCUAGAACAUAACUGACGCUGAUGCGCGAAAGCGUGGGGAGCAAACAGGAUUAGAUACCCGGGUAGUC